CAUACCCAAGAAUGUGAAAACCUCUGCCAUUCACAGAUGUAUUCCACACACAUAGAAAGAACUCAUUCAAAUCAACAAAAACCAAAACACACAACCUAAUCACAAAGUGGCUUCCAAAAGGCAAUUAUUUCACAAAAGAAACACGUAAGUGGCCAAGACACACACAGGGGCGGGUCCCACGAAUACACCGUACCUCCCAGCACCUGAGCCCCAGCAACCAGCUAACACACGAGAAGAGGCAAUACCAGGCAUCAGCCAGCCCUGAGCUCCCACCCGCUGUUGCUCGAGGGGAACAGACACGUGCCACCACUCACGCCCUGCUCCUCCAAGGCAACCCAAUAUGAUGCAUGUGGAUCUGCAGGCAGCCUCUGCACAAACCGGAGCACCCACAGGAGAAAGAAUAAACCGUGCUGUGCUCACACACUGCGCCUUCGACAGCAGGGGAGGACCAGCACAGCCACGCAAGGAAAACAGGUGCAUUGCGCACACACAGCGCUCAAGGGUUGGCUCAACAUGAAGCGAAGAACAAGCCAAAGCCAUCGCUGGUGAAAGUCAAGACCGUGGUUACCUUUGGGGGACGUUCGGUGGGAGUCAGUAGGAGGUAGGAAGCACGGUAAGGUUCCAUUUCUUCAUCCAGGUGGUGGUUCCAAGAAUGUGUUCGCUGAGUGAAAGAUAUGGAAGAUCAGCUGAAAGUAGUGGCCUAGGAUGUUCCAAACGUCCACCGCGUGCCACACAAAAAUGCAGCUCUGUGCGGGCUGCUAACCCCCAAGAGAAGCAAGGAAGCCCCACGCAUCUGAGUGUGGAAUCAGGAAAGAGCAUCCAGACACCCCAGGAGCUACCGCCACACCCUCCUCGCCUCCAGCUGUUCAUCUGGGGGAGUCCACAUCACCUUCCUAAACAUAAUUGGCCACAAGACACUGAAUGCAGAAGCAGCUGGAAGAAUAAAGAUCUUGCACUAAGCCAAUGCCAAUGCCAAUGCCACGCUUCUACACAGUGUUGUUCUGAAAAUGUACGUAUUUUUUGCAUGAAAGGUAUGAGUACGUUAAUCUGUACUAAUUUCUUGUCUUUAAGUGAAUUCAUCACAUCUGAGAUGCUCGGAUUUGGUUUGGUUUCCUUAAUGUUUGUUUUUGAGAGAGAGACACAGGGCACGUGAGGGGAGGGGCAGAGGGAGAGGGUCACAGAGAAUCUGAGACAAGUCCAGGCUGGCAGCUGGCAGCACAGAGCCCCACAUGGGGCUCUACACUAUCAACUGUGAGAUCACCACCUGAGCCAGAGUCGGACCCUUAACACAGAGAGCCACCCAGGCGCCCGCUUCAAUUCUCGGUUUAAUCUCACCACAGUAGAGAUCAAGAGACACAACCCCCACACUCGAUUGCUCUCUGGGGCCCUCAAUAAUCCCCUGAUGUCCAAGUGUCCCGACACCACCGAGUCUGAGAAACACUGACCCAGGGAACAAAGGGCACUCUCGCCUUCUUCCCGUCAACUUCCCAAUUUCCAUAGGGUUUCCCCAGCUCACCAAACUCUCUAGGGCCUGGCCCACAGGACGCAAGGGCCUAAGGCGGCCUUUGUUCGUGGCAGCCGCCUCGGGGGACAGAACGUGUGCAGCCUGUGCGGGGUCAGGGGUCGGACAAGGCGGGAAGGUCUCCAACAGCCUCUGCGAGGGCGGGCGGCACACUCCUUACACGACAGCCGCCGCGGCUCAGGCGGGCACCCGGAGAACCUCCCAGAAGCCACGACCUGCAGUGAGAAGGGCCCUUACCGCCUGCCCAGCGGUUAAGCCAGCACUGCCACGGGAGGCGCCCCCGCACACACACCCCGCCGCCACAGAGCGGCCACCACGACUCACGGGAGCCUGCGGGCGUCCACACGGACAGGCCGGCCUUCCGCCCGAGGGUGGCCAAAUGCUGUCCCCCAAGUGAGCAGAACCAGGGCGCCCCGAACCUCCCGGCCUCUCAAGGCUGGCACUGUGGCCUCUGCCGGAGUCCGAGCGGCGCUGGGUCCACCAGAACUCACCUGCCUCGAUCGGGACGGUCUUCGGAGAAACAGGGACCCCAGGGCGACCUCCUCGUAGGUGGAAGACUUCUAGCAAGGGAGAAGCCGGAUGCUCAGAAGAGCACCGCCCUCGCCCUCCACAGCGCAUGCGGGCUCCUACCGCCUCCAAGAACCAGCCGGCCUCCCGCCCACCUCUCCACCUGGCAAAUGCGCUGUGGCGCCAGCACCAACGGAAACGACUGCGUCAGGGCAGAAAGACUACCGGGUGGGACGCUGCACCGGCAGAGACUCCUCAACACGCACCCGCCCGGACGCACUGGGGUACAACGUCAGAGGCGAACCCGAUCUCAGCUGCGGACCUUGGACGAUGGACACACAUCAGCACAGGUUUGGGGCUGUGACAAAGGCCUCGCCCUGGCGGGGGGUUUGGAUACCUGCUCAGGGGAGAGGCUGCCUCAGUAAGGGCAGCAGGUUCCCUGGAUGUGGGAAAGCUUGGGAAAUUAGUGCUUCAUGGGCUUCCCUGGAAAACUUACACUGGCAACAGGAAGCAGGUACCCCAGUGCGUUGGAAAGCAUUGAGCACAAGAGGUUGGCCUGUGGACAGAAGCCCGGGUGGAAAGCAACCUGACUUCCUUCUAGGGCAAAAUGAAGAUAUCAGCAGGAAGGAGUCAGGAGCAAUGCAGCUGCCACCCAGACAGCAAUCUCCUAGCAGUUGGCAGCAAGCUCCCACACCUUGGUCCCACCUGGACAAAUCUCUUUCUGAUAUCAGAGGAAGCAUUAUCAUCUUACAGAGAACAUGGUGCUUGGUAGGCUGUGGUAGGCAUGCCAAUGGUCAACCUGCUGACAACUUCCCCCUGCUGCCUGAAAUGCCUGCCUUCCUAGCAGCUGAAGUGUUGCCUUUGCACAUUGCAAUCUCAGAGCUGGUCAGCCAAGAAAAGGAUCAAUCAAAGUGGACAAGACCAGAGCCCGGUUCCACUCAUGUAAGUGUUAGAGCCAACACCAUCACCUAAUUACCCCUGCCUUUAUACAUUGAAGGAAAGAGCUGGAAGACAGGUGAAGGCCAAAAGACUCUUUGACCUGAGGUGGAACAUGGAAGUUACUCUUUGGUCCGCAAAGAUUCUCCCUUAGGAUGCCUUUUGAACCCACUGGAAACAGUUGGGUUUGCAAAAUGUGGAAAGGACUGAUCCUGUAACACUGCAUGGCCUUACUAACCAGGGCAAAUAGACGGCUGUUGCCGUAGGUUCAGCCCUUCGGGGCUAAUGGACCAGGAGCCUCUUGCAGAAUGUGUUUGGUCAGUAACCAGGCCGGACAAAGUUUUCUUGGAUUGUUGAUCUGCUCUUCAUAAGAAAAUCGAACACAUUCUUGGAACCACCACCUGGAUGAAGAAAUGGAACCUUACCGUGCUUCCUACCUCCUACUGACUCCCACCGAACGUCCCCCAAAGACUGCAGAUCAAAAUCGCCAGUUGCAAGAGAGCCUGGAGGUGGUGGAGCAGAAGAUGCAGCAGACCCUGAGGAAGGCUAAGACGCUGUGCGAGGUGGAAGACAAGCGGGCCCAGAUGGUGGCCGCCCUCUGCAAUGUGGGGCCCACCUUUCCUCCUGGGUCCCCUGAUGGGAAUGUCAUUUUCAUGGCUGUUCGUUCUUCUAUCUCGAUUAUCACCGGUAACAUCGGCAAACCAAAAUCCGUUAACAAAGUGACAUCUCUCUUUGGUAUUACUUUGAGAUUGGAAUGCUUUUCAAAAUGCAGGCAUCAUCCCCAUUUUUUUCACCUCCCGUUUUGUCUGAUGUGUGGUUUGCAGGUGACUGCAACAAAGACUCACUGCUUUUUAGAGUUAAGUCAACGACUUAAAUCUGAAGAUGUCAGCCUUGGAUAGGACAGGGGUGCUUGGCGGGCUCAAUCUGGAGUUUUGGACUGGAUAUCAGGGUCACGAGUUUGAACCCCACGUAAGAUAUAGAGCUUACAAAAAAUUAAUGAAAGCAUGGAAUAUUUCCCAGAAAUAAGAAAAGCAUAUUCUGUUUUCCUUUUAAUAGGAAAUUUAUUGUCAAAUUUGGUUCCAUACAACACCCAGUGUUCAACCCAACACAUGCCCUCCUGAAUACCCAUUGACUACCCUCCCCUCCCUCCCACCCCUAUCUGCCCUCAGCUUUUUCUCAGUUUUUAAGAGUCUCAUGCUUUGGCUCUCUCCCACACUAACUUCUUUUUUUUCCUACGCCUUUUUCAUGGGUUCCUUUUAAGUUUCUCCAGAUUCACUUGAGUGAACACAUAUCGUAUCUGUCUUUCACUUACCAUAACACUCUCCAGUUCAAUCCACAUUGCUACAAUUGUCCAUAUUUUAUUCUCAUUGGCACGUAGUACUCCAUUGUGUAUAUAAACCACAGUUUCUUCAUCCAUUGAUCCGUUGAUGGACAUUCAGGCUCUUUCCACAAUUUGGUUAUUGUUGACAUUGGUGCUAUUAAUAUUGGGGUAUAGGGGCCCCUAUGCAUCAGUACUCCUGUAUCCCUUGGGUAAAUUCCUAGCAGUGCUACUGUUGUGUCAUAGUUAAGAUCUAUUUUUAAUUUUUUGAGGAAACUCGGCACUGUUUUCCAGAGCUGUUGCAGCAGUUUGCAUUCCCACCAACGGUGCAGGAGGGCUCCUGUUUCACCACAUCCUCGCCAGCAUCUACAUUCUCCUGAACUGUUCAUUUUUGCCACAAUGACUGGCGGAGGUGAUAUCUGAGUGUCGUUUUUCUUUGUAUUUCCCUGAUGAGGAGCGACGUUAAGCAUCUUUUCAUGUGCCUGCUGACCAUCAAGAUUUCUUCGUUAGAGAAAUGUCUAUUCAUGUUUUGUGCCCAAUUCUACACGGGAUUAUUUGCUUCUCGGAGCGAAAUUUGGUGAGCUCGUAUUAGGUUUUGGAUACUAGCCCUUUGUCCGAUAUAUCAUUUGCAAAUAUCUUUUCCAAUUCCGUUGGUUCCUUUUAUUUGCUGUGAAGCUUUUUAUCUUCAUGA